CAUUUUUAAUGGGCGGUUUUCAUGUGGCUGCAUCUGCGCAGCCUUGUCAAAAGUUCCUGCUCCAAGGCAAAAACCAGAGGAGUCUUUUUCUCUGUUGUGAGGUCUUGGAUGAGUCUUCUGCUCUCUCUAAAGCUCAUUUGUCUUAUCUGUAAAGUGACAGGAACAUCUGCCUCACUGGAUUGUCAUGAGGAGUAAAUGAGUCUCUUUGUGGAAUGGAGUGAAGGGUUGGCACGGUACCUGCCCUUGGCAGUCCUCGUGUUCCCCUCGCUCCACUGAUGAAGAAUCUGAGGCAUAGAGUGGUUAAGAAACUUGCCAAGGGUCAAACAGCUAUUGAGUGCUGGAGCCAGGAUUUAAUUCCAGGCAGCCUGACUCCAGAGUUCUGAGUUCUCAGGUACUACAAUGACCCCUGGCUUCUUCCUCUGGUCAUGGACCUCUUUAAUGUGACACCUGCUGUAGCCAUUGGGCCAGCAGUCUCGAGACAAUACAGCCAAGAGACAGAAGGAGCCUGGAGAGCCGGGGUCCCUGUGCGCAGCUUUGGGAGUUGAAUGGACCAGCACUGAAGCCCACCCUAUCUGCUGACUUCUUGUUUUGUGUGAAACAUAUUUCCAUCUUGUUGAAGCCAUUUUGACUCAGAAAGUACCCUAAUAGAGACACUGCUGCUGCCAGAAGAAACAGAAGGAGUGCAGGAAGACCCACUGGGCUCCAGGUAAUCUGUUCUCACAAACCACUCAGCCCAGGUUAAGACACAACUCUACGGCCUUUCACCAUGGGGGCCAGUUUUGAAGGCAGGAAAAACUGGUAAGAGAUCGUUGGAAAGGAUGGAAGAAAUUGCAGAGAAAAAUAAAAUUAUUUCAUAAUUCUCCUUUAUUAGGCACAGGUAAACAUACAUACUCAUGGUAUCCAAAACCUAGAGUAUGG
rnacentral:lncRNA from 1 species